GUGUCAGCCGCCGCGGUAAUACGUAGGGGGCGAGCGUUGUCCGGAUUUACUGGGCGUAAAGAGCGCGUAGGCGGCUCGUUAAGUUGGCGGUGAAAGUCUUCGGCUCAACCGGGGAAGGUCGGCCAAAACUGGCGGGCUCGAGGGCGGUAGAGGAAGGUGGAAUUCCUGGUGUAGUGGUGAAAUGCGUAGAUAUCAGGAGGAACACCGGUGGCGAAGGCGGCCUUCUGGGCCGCACCUGACGCUGAGGCGCGAAAGCGUGGGGAGCGAACUGAAUUAGAUACUCAGGUAGUCCACGCCCUAAACGAUGGACGCUAGGUGUGGGGGGUAUCGACCCCUCCCGUGCCGAAGCUAACGCAUUAAGCGUCCCGCCUGGGGAGUACGGCCGCAAGGCUAAA
rnacentral:rRNA from 1 species